rnacentral:rRNA from 1 species
UACGUAGGGUGCGAGCGUUGUCCGGAAUUAUUGGGCGUAAAGGGCUCAUAGGCGGUUUGUCACGUCGGGAGUGAAAACUCGGGGCUCAACCCCGAGCCUGCUUCCGAUACGGGCAGACUAGAGGUAUGCAGGGGAGAAUGGAAUUCCUGGUGUAGCGGUGAAAUGCGCAGAUAUCAGGAGGAACACCGGUGGCGAAGGCGGUUCUCUGGGCAUUACCUGACGCUGAGGAGCGAAAGUGUGGGGAGCGAACAGG